AUUUUUGUAAGCUAUAUAAGCUAUUGAGUUCAUACCUCAAAAAAGGCCUCGCCCGGAAAUA
rnacentral:tRNA from 1 species